GUCACAAUGCGUUCCGAGCCGGCACGCCAGUGAGACUGUGUGUGCAUCGACUGCAAAUAUAAAAAGGAGUUAAGCCGCCUAACUGGAGAAAUAUAGCUGAGGGCCACACUGCAGUCUGAAGAUGCUGAUAGAAUAAGCAACUGAUCGUCAUGGAUACACGUAUCCAGAAAAUCCAAAGGAGAAGGCAAACAUGCACGCCGCCGCAACAGGAGGGAGGGAGAGCACCAACAUCAUCAUUUGUGCAACAGAAAGAAAGCAGACAUGGAAGAAAAGCUACUCGUAAUUUUAAUAAAUGGAGGCAGCGGUGUGAAACAAAUCUUCCUAUUCCUCUGCAGUAAGGAAGCGAACUGCCGUAACUGGAGCAACGUGGCCGGUGAAUACGUGCGCAGGAUGGGAGGUCAUGUAGUAGUUCCACAACACAACCCGAUGAUCUACACCUGCAGUGGCUAUAAACAAUCCCAUAGUAUCAAAUUACACAAGGCACUCUCAUCAGGAUCCCUCGCUCUCGGACAAGUUGGUCUCGGAAUGAUGCGACUGCUGAGUCAUUAUUGAACGGUCCAAUGACUCUAAAGAGACGGAGCUGAAUGACGAAAGGGAUCAAUGACACGAUAAAGCGACCUCUUUGUCAACCCAGGAUGAUGUGGGAGAGUCUCAGGGGAAAGUGGGACAAGCCUUCACCUCAAACUUCAUGCCAGCAUUCAAAACUCUGGCACAGGGAGUGGGGGGCUCGGGACUCACCCCCGUCCACCUCUGCUGCAUUUGCUGUUAUUGGAGUUAUGCUGAAUGAGCAAUAUCACAUAUUUUGGCACUAGAGUGCAGGUGGCAAGGUGAAAACAUUGCAACAGAGCCUGAAUACUGUCCGUGUGAUUUUUAAGUUGCUUUUUUCCUCAUUUCCCCGAAUGUGUUUUCAAGAAUGUACAAUAUACCAUGGAUAUCUUAGAAAUAUACUGUACACUUAGUCCUCGGUUUACGACUAAGAUCCUUGCUACAGUAGCGACUUAAAGGUCAAGUGUCAUGAAAAACAUGAUUUUUACUACGUUAUUAAUGAAAAAACGGCAGCCGGUAUGGACCCAUCUGUUUUUUCACCAGAAAACAUGAUUUUGACGUGUAUGGCUUUUUGUUACUCCCAGCAUGAAAAUCCUCUCGAGGGAUUUGUUUUUGAGAAGAAGCAGGAAGUGAGCGUACACGGCGGGACCGCCCUCCAGCGUACUCGUUUGUUUCUAUUAGUUUUACCUGCGGGAGGCUAGCUCGUUGUUCUUUCGUUUUAGCCAAAAUGCCGGCUUGUUGCAUUGCUGGGUAUUGGUUGAACACUUGGGAGGAUAGAUUUACUCUUCAUAAGUUUCCAAGUCGUGAAAAAUGUAUUGCACGGGUGCAAAGGUCAGGUAGGUGUGUAUACAGCUACUAAAAAAAAUAAUAGUUUGAGGCGGACCACGUAAUCGGUCUCUCAUAACGUAACAAGAGAUCUGCAUAAAUAUGUCAGGCAUGCUAAAUGUGUCGAUGUGCGCGUCGGACGGCUUCCGUGUCAGGCUGCCGGCGAAGGCUGCCACGUCGGCUCGCGGACGGCAGCGGCUAUGAACAACGCUCCCGACAAUAGCGCACUCAGCCCCGUGCGACGACAACGCCAUAAAAGCGCCCGGCUCGCCUCCGUGAUAAGCCACCUUGGCGCCGAAAAUGAGCCACCCCGGCUGAGGCGCCGUGUCUGUUGGUCAAGAUGGCUUCGGCUAUGAACAGUGCGUGCGACGACAACGCCGUAAAGCGCCCCGUCUAGGCGGUGUUGUUCGUUCCAUAUGGCGGCGGCUAUGAACAACGCUGUGAAAUUGGUCCUCAAUCCUCUCCAUCUCGACAAAUAUCAAAGAACCUCGUUUUGUGAUCAUUGUUUCUGACAUGAGAACGGAACCCUUCACAUGUGCUAAAAUACGGGCUUUGUCUUUAAUAAUCGUCACCACGGUCGACCGACUGAAGCCUCGGUGGUGUUGGUGUCUCUCCUUUCUCCAAUCUUUUUAUGAUCUUGAGCUUCGUUUUCCAUGGUAAUGGAUUUUCUUUUUGCUCCAGAAGACACAGCUUUCUUCUUUGGGGCGAUAAUGUCAAAAUGCAAAGCUACUCCCGGCGCACAAACACGGACAAGCAUUAGCCGGACAAAAUGGCGGACGGGGGACGAGCGUUGUAAAGUUGAAACGUCUUAACUUGAGGACUCCCUGUAUACGGUAACUCCUAAUAGGACAGACAGGGAGGGAGGAGCACAGAUGAUUUGAAAUAUUAUCACUGGUAUUCAAAGUAAUCGCAAAAGUCCACUUCUCUUCAUGUGCUUUCCAUGAUGUGCUUUGCAUUUCAUGUAAAAUUUUAAAAAAUUAAAAAAAGAA